CCAGAGCCAAGGGAGUUCUUCUCUAAAACCCUAAAUUCAUCAAAAUCCCUUAAAAUCAAAGAAGGUAUUGGGUUAAAGAUCAAUUCCAAGCUAAAUUCGUGAUUUUUCUAGUUAGGAGAUCACAAGGCAAAUUGGGCGAAUCGUCGAGUGGUCAAGGCGGAAAGGAUACUCGCUUAAAAGGAAAGCUUUAAAGGUAACUACAACAAUCUAAAGGGAUGACGAUCAAGCUUGCUUGAGAACCGAACACACAUUCAAAUGAAGCUUCCGCAUCUAUAUUAGUUUCUUUUGUUGCUAAACGCUGGUGUAAAACGUUUAUAAACGUAUUUUGUAUGUUUUAAAAAAUUAAGUAAACAUCGCUACGCCGAUGUUUUGUAUAAUGGCAUGUUUGUAUGUAAAUGCGUACUUUAUUAUAUGAAUUAUAAAAUAUAAUUGUAAGGAUCUUACAGAUGACACGCUUGAUUUUUUCAAGAAGGCGUAUAAGGAACUUGAAGGUUUGAGCCGC